rnacentral:tRNA from 1 species
GGUAGCGUGGCCGAGCGGUCCAAGGCGCUGGUUUAAGGCACCAGUCUCUUCGGGGGCAUGGGUUCGAAUCCCAUCGCUGCAA